GAAAUAUAUUAUUUUAAAUGGCUGCAGUAUUUUAACUGUACAAAGGUAGCAUAAUAAAUUGUUUUUUAAAUGAAAACUAGAAUGAAAGAAUUAAUGAAAUAUAAACUUUAUUUAGAUUAAAUAUAAAAAUUUAUUUUUAAGUUAAAAAGCUUAAAUUGAUUAAUGGGACGAGAAGACCCUAUAAAAUUUUAUAUUUAAUUUUUUUUUUAAUUUUAAAAUUUAAAAUUUAAAGAAUUUAAAUAUUUAUUUGGGAGGAAAUUUAAAUUUAUAAAACUUUUUUUUAUUUUAUACAUUUAUUAAUGAAUUUUAAAUAAUGAUUUUAUUAAUAAUAAUUAAAAGAUUAAAUU
rnacentral:rRNA from 1 species